rnacentral:tRNA from 1 species
UAGCUCAGUCGGUAGAGCAAAGGACUGAAAAUCCUUGUGUCGGUGGUUCGAUUCCACCUUA